UGGAAGUAAAAGUGCUAACAAGGUUUCCGUAGGUGAACCUGCGGAAGGAUCAUUAC
rnacentral:rRNA from 1 species